ACCUGCCCUAUGAAUAAUUUACUUUUAAAUGGCUGCGGUAUUUUGACCGUGCAAAGGUAGCAUAAUAAUUAGUUUCUUAAUUGGGAACUGGAAUGAAUGGUCGAACGAGAAAAAGACUGUCUCAAUUUAAUUUAAAUUAGAAUUUUAUUUUUAAGUAAGAAAGCUUAAAUGAUCUUAAAAGACGAGAAGACCCUAUAGAGUUUUAUAUUAAUUUUUAUAAUUGAAAGUUGAAGUAUUAUAGAUUUAAAUAUAAUUAUUAAUAUUUAAUUGGGGCGAUUAAAAAAUUUAAUAAACUUUUUUUAUAUUAAACCAUUAAUUUAUGAAUAAGUGAUCCAUAUAUUUAUGAUUAAAAGAUU
rnacentral:rRNA from 1 species